rnacentral:ncRNA from 1 species
UAACUGUAACCUUGAUAGAUGGAAUGAGGGGGUAACGCCCUGAAACGUCUACCCUGAUACUCCGAUUGGCGCUGCAAGACAGCACUUGUAGGGUCAAGAGCUCGGUAAAGUCGGCUGAAUACACUCGCUGUAUCGACAACAAUCAUAUUGUAUCGUUACGGCAAAAGCAAGCCAGAGGUGGCUGUGAGUGUUAGGCCGGGGGUCUA